UUUUAUUUUUGUCAAAAAGUAAGAUAAACAACGUGUAACCAAAAACAGCAAUGUGUGGCACAGGAAAUUCCCAUAUGUUCCAAUUAAUCAACUGUUAAGGUAAUUCACUAUAAAAGCAACGAUGAUCGGGAUCUCCAUUUUCUGGUAGCUCGUUAAAACACUUGGCUGUCAAGCAUGAAUAGAGUUAGACAUCAACAUUGAAAAGCAUACAAAUGCUGUCUCCAAAAUCUAAGCGCCGGGUUGCACACAGAAUAGUGAUUUUUCUUGCUCCUCAAUUUUAAAAUUACAAUAUUUCUGUGCAGAUGCCUUGGGAAGAGGAUGGACUUUUUAAUUUGAUAGUUUAGCACAAUACCUGGGAGUAAGAGGGGACCUUGAGAAGAACUGUACUGGUGUUAUUGACAAGGAUGAUGUGUAUGGCGAUGGACAGUGAGGAUAAGUGUGACUUAAUCCUGAGGAGAAAAAAAAA